UCCUUUCUCUCCUUUUCACGUUCUGUUCUGUCCCAACACCAACUCGUUCGCCGCCGUUCAUUUGCAACCCAAAACGCAGUUCGCCGCCGUUCGCUGCCGAUCACACCGUUCUCCUUUCAGUUCAUCGUUCAUUGUGUCGAGUGUAAGCAUAGCCGUCUGUCGAACUGCACCUCAGUCGUCCGCCGUCUGUCGUUCGCCGCACCUCCGUUCUCCGCCUCUUACCCUUCGAUCUUGUUUAGUCUGAGUUAAUCAGUCAACAUAAAGAAAUAAAACCCCCGAUGGACCUAAUCCCUCCUCUCCAUAGCACUGCAGCGCCCUCCGGCAAUUGCGUUCCAUCUAUAGCAACUGAACGCAAUGCCCUACUUUCUAAUUCCAAUCUCUAGGCAAGCAAUGGAAUGAACUUGUUUUGCUUUCGCCGAUGACCGUGUGAGGUUUUCUUUUAUGGCUGAAGCUUAAAUUCGGUGUAUGCCACCCUGUUUCUUUGAGUUGUUUACAAUCUUUAACCAAGAAAAUGGACUCCAGUGCAACUCCUGGACCAGAUGAUCCUUUAAUUCUCAAAGAGCAAGAUAAUCACAUAUCAUCAGACAUUUGGGAUGGAAAGGAAAGAGGUGUGCUUAGAUGUUUAGAGCAUACAUCUAUUCUUGAGAGAUGGAAACUUACAGGAAAACAGAUUGAGCUAGUUGAAAAGGCUGGAUUUGGGUACUUGAGAUUGAUGCCAGCAGUAACCCUUGACUGUGCGCUCAUCUCAGCACUUGUGGAGAGAUGGAGAAAGGAAACUAACACCUUCCAUUUUUCAGUUGGAGAAAUGACAAUAACGCUUGAAGAUGUUGCUCUUCUACUUGGGCUAUCGAUUGAUGGAAAACCUGUCACAGAUGUGGAUGUUGACCCCAAGUCACUUUGUGAAAAUUUACUUGGGAAAGCACCAACAGAUUUCAAGGGUGCUGUGAAGCUAACUUGGUUGAAGGAGGUUUUCUCAGAAUGUCCAGAAGAUGCAGGGAUCGAACAAAUAGAGUAUUCUACUCGUGCAUAUCUCUUAUACUUGUUAGGCAGUACUAUAUUUGCUUCAACGAGUGGGAACAAAGUUAGUGUCAUGUACCUUUCAUUAUUCAAGAAUUUUGAUGAGGCUGGCAAGUAUGCUUGGGGUGCUGCUGCUUUGGCUUUCUUGUAUAGAGCACUAGGCAAUGCUUCUCUUAAAUCUCAGCGCACCAUCAGCGGUUCUUUAACACUUCUGCAGUGUUGGAGUUAUUAUCACUUGAAUAUUGGCCGACCCAAAUUAAAAAAGGAGCCAGAGAAUUGUUUCCCAUUUCUACUUAAAUGGACGGAAAAUAGAAGUGGUUCCCGAAUGGGAAUAAAUUUGCCCACAUACCGCAAGGCCUUGGAUUCUCUUCAACCCUCCGAUGUACAAUGGCUUCCCUACAAGGAUAUGGACUUUUCUGUUGUACCAGAAGAUAUCAAGAACAGUUUGGUCUUGCGUGCAUCAAGAACAAUGUUAAUUUGUUUUGAUAAGGCUGAGAAGCAUCUUCCAGACCGAUGUUUGAGACAGUUUGGCCUGCCUCAACCUAUUCCAAAGGACGUUGAGGAUUGGAAGCGGAAAAUUUCUUUAAUGGAUAGCAAGGAGGAACUCCCAUUAGAUCUCAAAGAAUGGUCAGACCGGUAUGAACUUAUCUAUAAUGGCAUUGAUUGUGUAGACGAAAGUGAGUAUUUGCAAUGGUAUGAAAAGAUCACCCGUAAAUUUGUUGGACGAGCCGAGUCGUGGGAGUCAAGAUUUAGGCAAACAAUUAAGGCUAUGCAUGAAGUUGUGAAAAUAGUAAAUUCAAUCUCCACGAAUGGGAUGGAUCGCGAGGAUCGAAAGUUAUUUAGUAAUGUGAAAACUAUGGUACAUAAAUGUUGGACAGAAAAAUAUGCUGAUUCACCCAGCGAAGGGGAUAGUGCAAAACGUACCGGGAAACGCAAGAGGGAAGGCUAAUCAAAUAGGGACGAUGGUUAAUCUUCAUUACCCACUAAAAGCCAAGGUUCUUUUGAGCUUUCAAAUAUGGUUUAUUCAGGGUAGAUCCACAAAAUGCCAGUGGUGGAAACGUUUCACACUUGAUGAUGUAUGAGGCAGUUCUUGGGAUCUCUCUGAUGUUGAUGGAAAUCUUAAUUUGCCUUUGCACACCAGACGAACAAUGGACCUUGGGCAAUUUAGAUAUGCCUACAAGAGUUUGGGCAAUUGGGAAUCAAUGGACUUCAGUAGAUGUUUGAUGCAAAGUUUUAGAAAUUCUCUGCAUCAAUGCAAUUUGGGUACCCUCCCUCAUUUUUCCUUUGUUAUUUUGAAGAGUGAAUAUUUCAAGCAACACUGAGAUGAUGGUUCAAACGUUAAAUGGUGUUGGGUUAAGUCUCGCAACGAGUGCAACCCUUGGGCGACACACGUGCUACAAUGCUCCGGACAAAGGAUCGUGAUCCCACGAGGGUGAGCUAACUCUAAAAACCCGUCCUCAGUCGAAUUGUAGGCGCAACUCGCCUGCAUGAAGUCGGAAUCGCUAGUAAUCGCCGGUCAGCCAUACGACGGUGAAUUCGUUCCCAAGCCUUGUACACACCGCCCGUCACACUAUGGGAGUUGGCCAUGCUCGAAGUCCUUACCUUAACCGUAAGGAGGGGGAUGCCGAAGGCAAGGCUAGUGACUGGAGUGAAAGUCGUAACAAGGUAGCCGUACUGGAAGGUGCGGCUGCAUCACCUCCUUUUCAGGGAGUGCUAAUGCUUGUGGGUAUUUUGGUUUGACACUGCUUCACACCCAAAAAGAAGCGAGCUACGUUUGAGUUAAACUUGGAGAUGGAAGUCUUCUUGGCAAAGAGGCGAGAAGAAAUGGAUUCAUCAUUCAAUUUGAAUCACUUCAAGAACGAGAAAAAAGAACUACCACCUCCCCCUGAGAUGUGGAUCAUCCAAGGCACAUUAGCAUGGCGUACUUCUCCUUCGAACCGGGUUUGAAAACCAAACUUCUCCUCAGGAGGAUAGAUGGGUGAUUCAGGUGAGAUCCAAUUGUAGAUCCAACUUUCUAUUCACUCGUGGGAUCCGGGCGGUUCGGGCGAAGAAAGGCAUGAGAGAAAAGCAUAUUGGCUAGUGAUUGUGAGCCCUAAUUCUUGACCGGAGGGGACACCAAAGGCCUCUGCCCUUCCAUCCCUUGGAUAGAUAGAGAGGGAGGACAAAGCUUUUUUUGGUUUUUUCAUGUUGUCAAAGAGUUGAACAAUGGUUUUUUCGUGUUGUCAAAGAGUUGAACAAUGAAAAUAGAUGGCGAGUGCCUAAUCGAAUUGAUUUGAGCUCGGCAUGUCUAGAAGCACAGGAGAACGUUCUUUUGUUGAUAUUAUCAUCAAUAUUCGAUACUGGGUCAUUCAUAGCA